rnacentral:misc_RNA from 1 species
GCGAAGCUAGCAUCAGAUGCUGAAUCAUACAUGAACAGGAAAUUCUAGAGAAUGCUUAUUUCCGCCCAAUUGAACGAGUUACAGUAUGAAACUAUGAAUCUUAACUAAUGUACUACCUCGUCCGCUGCUAUCCUCAACAUGGGAAUUCCACAGGUUAAGUAUGUGCAUACCAGUCUGGAAGUGGAGCUGUGGGAAUACAAUGUUGCAGGUGAAAGCAACUUGUGAACCCCUCCCCUUCAGAUCAAGAUACCAUUUUGGUUUCAGGGUCAAUAAUGGUGCAGUCCAAAACAUCUCAAGAAGAAAAUACUACUCUUUUCACUUUCC